AGAGUUAAAUAGUACGUGAAAUUGUUGAAAGGGAAACGAUUGAAGCCAGUCGUACCUGCGGACAAUCAGCCUCCCGUGUGUGAUUACGUGGUACUUGAGGAGCUAAACACCCUCAUGUUUGCGUAUUCGUGCUCGUGGGUGUAUUUGCCCGUGUGGUAGGUUAACAUCAAUUUCGGGCAUCAUAAAAUGGUUGGAGGAAUGUGGCUUCGACCUCGGUUGAAGUGUUAUAGCCUUCGGCAGAUGAGGUGAUCGGGAUUGAGGAUUGCAACGGAUACCCUUUGGGCUACCUGUCUGAUCUCUGAUGGUUACUCUGGUGCCGAAAGCUUGCUUACGGUUAUCAAAGUUGAUCGUCAAUAGGUUAGAAUGGGAUAAAUUCGUUAAGGAUGUUGACGUAAUGGCUUUAAACGA
rnacentral:misc_RNA from 1 species